GACGAACGCUGGCGGCGUGCUUAACACAUGCAAGUCGAACGGAAAGGCCCUGCUUUUGUGGGGUGCUCGAGUGGCGAACGGGUGAGUAACACGUGAGUAACCUGCCCUUGACUUUGGGAUAACUUCAGGAAACUGGGGCUAAUACCGGAUAGGAGCUCCUGCUGCAUGGUGGUGGUUGGAAAGUUUCGGCGGUUGGGGAUGGACUCGCGGCUUAUCAGCUUGUUGGGGGAGUAGUGGCUUACCAAGGCUUUGACGGGUAGCCGGCCUGGGAGGGUGACCGGCCUCAUGGGGACUGAGAUACGGCCCAGACUCCUACGGGAGGCAGCAGUGGGGAAUAUUGCACAAUGGGCGGAAGCGUGAGGCAGCAACGCCGCGUUCGUGAUGACGGCCUUCGGGUUGUAAACCGCUUUCGCCUGUGACGAAGCGUGAGUGACGGUAAUGGGUAAAGAAGCACCGGCUAACUACGUG
rnacentral:rRNA from 1 species